rnacentral:rRNA from 1 species
CACGUAGGGUGCGAGCGUUGUCCGGAAUUAUUGGGCGUAAAGAGCUCGUAGGCGGUGUGUCGCGUCGGCCGUGAAAACCUGCAGCUUAACUGUGGGCGUGCGGUCGAUACGGGCAUCACUGGAGUUCGGCAGGGGAGACUGGAAUUCCUGGUGUAGCGGUGAAAUGCGCAGAUAUCAGGAGGAACACCGGUGGUGUAGACGGCUCUCUGGACAGUCAC